GUACUUGCUCUGGCAGCACAUAUACUAAAAUUGGAACAAUACAAAGAAGAUUAGUAUGCCCCCCCACCCAAGGAUGACACACAAAUUCAUGAAGUAUUCCAUAUUUUU